rnacentral:lncRNA from 1 species
CCGUAGUGCUUGGCGCGGUGACCAGAUCGGGCCGCCUUCCUGACUGCACAGAGCAAGACGCCACACUCUGGAUCCCAGGCCGGGUCCCUGUGGUUCUGCAGGGAGGUCCCGGACGCCUCCCAGAUCUUGGGCUUCUGUAACCCUGAGUCUGGGUUUUAAAAUCACAGCUCUUCCAAGUUGCACGAAGAGUCCAGGGUCGAGGGUCAAGGGUGGUCUUCGACCCGCUGGAUCGUCUUCUUGAGAAUUAGCUGAGAGCUAAGCCUAGAGCUGCCCAGGGAAGGAAGCCAAAAGGCUGGAGCCGAGCGCAAAGGGCUGGGAGACGCGGGGAGGCCCCUUACCCCCGCACCCCCUCCCCCCCUCCACUGUCCUGCCCGCUAAUAACGCUAAUAAUAGUAACAGUAUCGGCCAACUGUUUCCCCCCUGCUCCUGGUCUGCCAGGCACCGGAUCCUCCUUUAGCACUCCCAGCACUCACUGAAGAAGGCACUAUAGAAUUCUCCAUUUUCCAGACUAGAAAUAGGUAACUCGGAGAAAUUAAGAAACUCGCCCGAGGACCCUCAGGCAGUAGCACCUGGCCAGGUGCUGUUGUAGGAGCAAGGGAUACAAUGAUGAUCAAGGCAGAUGCAGCCCUCACCUUCAGGUGGUGGAGUCUGGAUACAGACAAGGAGGUAGGCAGCUGUAAGAUGUGUGAGAAAUGCUGCGCUGGGUCAGCCCAUGGUAUUAGGAGAGCAGCUGAGUGCCACAUGCUGACAUCACUAAGAUCAAUACGGCAAACUCUGAAAGAUGGACAGAGAGACAGGAGAUGGUCCUUUAUAAUGCAGUGUGAUCUGUGCUGCAAUAGAGUUUUGGAGGCUAGAAGUUCAAAACGAGGUGUUGGCAGCACCAUGCUCUCUCUGAAGAUGCUAGGAAGAAUCUGUUCCGUGCCUUUCCAUUCGCUUCUGGGGUUUCCUGCAAGCCCUGACAUUCCUCGGCUUGUAGAUGCAUCACCCCAGUUUCUGCCCCCAUCAUCACAUGGCCCCCUCUCUGGGUGUACGUCUGCGUUCCCUCUCCUCUCCUUCUAAGGACACCGACACCAAUCAUAGUAGAUUAAGGGUCCACUCCUAACCAAUUACAUCUGCAACAACGCUAUUUCCAAAUAAAGUCACAUUCUAAGA